rnacentral:lncRNA from 1 species
UCAGCUAGAAGAAGGGGAUGAACCUCAUAGGGGUUAAAUAGGAGCAAUGAUGAAGAAUAACUAUGGGUCUAGUAGACUGAUUAGAAGAGAAGAAAAGCUCAGCCAUAUAUGGCCAAACAAAAUACCCGAAACCAGUCACCUGUAGCAAAGUACUGAGGUUCUUAAAGAUAGUAACAGUUAGAGUGAAAGAGAGAGCUUCGGCUAAGAUAAGGUAGAUGAGAAGUAGCAGUUAAGGCAGACAAUUUUUCCUCUUACCAACCGAGUCAACUAUCACUUUCAAAUUAAAGAAAAGUUAAUGUUAAACUACCCCCUUUUUUAUUUAAAGCUGGUAUAUGGCUGUUAUAUGGAUUUGUUGACUGUUAUGUUGAUUUUGUCUGCUAUGUCAACUGUUAGAAAGUUUAAGUGUUGCUGUGAUUAUUGCUUUGUAUAGAUUGAGGCAUUACAUGAAGACCUUAAUAAAUCAAAAGCCAAAAGGCUGGGGAAAGUAGAUAGGAAACUAGUUGUUCUAUGUAAAUAAAACUAAUGCUCACCAACUGUUUGAUAAAAUGCUAAUGUAAGGACUAUUUUAGUGUCAAGACAUACUAGCUAUGAAUUUAAGUCCAAAUCAUGUCUACUUGCUCAUAUGUUGAGAUGAAUGCC